UCAGACGAUGCGUCAUGCAUAUCAAUAAGCGGAGGAAAAGAAACUAACAAGGAUUCCCCUAGUAACGGCGAGUGAAGCGGGAAGAGCUCAAAUUUGAAAUCUUAAAGGGUUUCCCUUUACGAAUUGUAGUUUAAAGAAGUGGUUUUCUGUUGAGGUUUUGGUAAAAGUUCUUUGGAAUAGGACAUCAUAGAGGGUGAGAAUCCCGUAUUUGACCUUUACUUUCAACUUUGAUGAUACACUUUCAAAGAGUCGGAUUGUUUGGGAAUGCAGUCCAAAAUGGGUGGUAAAUUUCAUCUAAAGCUAAAUAUUGGCGAGAGACCGAUAGCGAACAAGUACCGUGAGGGAAAGAUGAAAAGAACUUUGAAAAGAGAGUUAAACAGGUACGUGAAAUUGUCAAAAGGGAAGCGUUUGACACCAGUGUUGUUUUUCUGAAAAUCAAUUAAAGAACUGUUUAUGCUAAGCUGUUUAGACUUUAUCAGCUAUCUGUUUAGUUUUGAGCUUUUCUUUAAUGCACUUUUCAGUUAACAAGUCAACAUCAAUUUCUUUUGCUGUAAAAAAGCUUGAGGAAGGUGGCUUGAGAUUCGUCUUAAGUGUUUAUAGCCUCUUGCCUAUGCAGUCGGAGAGAUUGAGGUCUGCAGCGUAGAUCCUUCGGGGCUAAAUGCAUUUGUGCUAAGUUAUAGCAUUUUAUAGACAACUUGUUGACUAUGAUUUGUCUUGUAGCUUACUCGCUUAUGUUAUUUUACCUACGCUUAGGAUGUUGACACACGCGCGUGCUCG
rnacentral:rRNA from 1 species